rnacentral:rRNA from 1 species
UGAGUGCGAGCUGCUACGGCAGCGAAGUUGGUGAUGUCAUGCUUCCAAGAAAAGCCCUAUACCCGUUAAGGCAUCAUGGCCUGUACCCGAAACCGACACAGGUGGGGUGGUAGAGAAUACCGAGGGGCGCGAGGUAACUCUCUCUAAGGAACUCGGCAAAAUGGCCCGUAACUUCGGGAGAAGGGGUGCCACCGCAAGGUGGUCGCAGUGAAGAGGCCCAGGCGACUGUUUACCAAAAACACAGGUCUCCGCUAAGUCGCAAGACGAUGUAUGGGGGCUGACGCCUGCCCAGUGCCGGAAGGUUAAGGAAGCUGGUCAGCGCAAGCGAAGCUAGCGACUGAAGCCCCGGUGAACGGCGGCCGUAACUAUAACGGUCCUAAGGUAGCAAAAUUCCUUGUCGGGUAAGUUCCGACCCGCACGAAAGGCGUAACGAUCUGGGCGCUGUCUCGGAGAGAGGCUCGGCGAAAUAGAAUUGUCUGUGAAGAUGCGGACUACGUGCACCCGGACAGAAAGACCCUAUGAAGCUUUACUGUAGCUUGGUAUUGUGCCCGGGCUCGCAAUGCGCAGGAUAGGUGGGAGGCUUUGAUCAUCGGCUUGCGGGUCGAUGUGAGCCAACGGUGAGAUACCACUCUUUGCGAGCUAGGGUUCUAACGGCCACCCGUCAUCCGGGGGCCGGACAGUACCUGGUGGGCAGUUUGACUGGGGCGGUCGCCUCCUAAAAGGUAACGGAGGCGCGCAAAGGUUUGCUCAGGCUGGUUGGAAAUCAGCCGACGAGUGUAAAAGCAGAAGCAAGCUUGACUGUGAGACCAACAAGUCGAACAGGGAGGAAACUCGGCUUUAGUGAUCCGACGGUUCUGAGUGGAAGGGCCGUCGCUCAACGGAUAAAAGUUACUCUAGGAUAACAGGCUGAUCUCCCCCAAGAGUUCACAUCGACGGGGAGGUUUGGCACCUCGAUGUCGGCUCAUCGCAACCUGGGGCUGAAGUCGGUCCCAAGGGUUGGGCUGUUCGCCCAUUAAAGCGGUACGCGAGCUGGGUUCAGAACGUCGUGAGACAGUUCGGUCCAUAUCCGGUGCACGCGCAGGAAUAUUGAGAGGAUUUCUCCCUAGUACGAGAGGACCGGGAGGAACGCACCUCUGGUGUACCAGUUAUCGUGCCAACGGUAAACGCUGGGUAGCCAUGUGCGGAGUGGAUAACCGCUGAAAGCAUCUAAGUGGGAAGCCCACCUCAAGAUGAGUAUUCCCAUGGCGUAAGCCAGUAAGGUCACGGGAAGAACACCCGUUGAUAGGCUCUAUGUGGAAGCGCAGUAAUGCGUGAAGCAGAGGAGUACUAAUAGACCGAGGGCUUGACC